rnacentral:rRNA from 1 species
UACGUAGGGUGCGAGCGUUAAUCGGAAUUACUGGGCGUAAAGCGUGCGCAGGCGGUUAUAUAAGACAGUUGUGAAAUCCCCGGGCUCAACCUGGGAAUUGCAUCUGUGACUGUAUAGCUAGAGUACGGUAGAGGGGGAUGGAAUUCCGCGUGUAGCAGUGAAAUGCGUAGAUAUGCGGAGGAACAUCGAUGGCGAAGGCAAUCCCCUGGACCUGUACUGACGCUCAUGCACGAAAGCGUGGGGAGCAAACAGG